ACAGAGGGUGCGAGCGUUAAUCGGAAUUAUUGGGCGUAAAGGGAGCGUAGGCGGAUUGACAAGUGGUAUGUGAAAUACCCGGGCUUAACCUGGGGAGGUCAUAUCAGACUGUUAGUCUAGAGUAUGGUAGAGGAAGGUGGAAUUCCUGGUGUAGCGGUGAAAUGCGUAGAUAUCAGGAAGAACAUCGAUGGCGAAGGCAGCCUUCUGGGCCAUUACUGACGCUGAGGCUCGAAAGCGUGGGGAGCGAACAGG
rnacentral:rRNA from 1 species